rnacentral:rRNA from 1 species
AUGAGGAAGAAGAAGACACCACCGAUAAGUAAUUUUUUCAAGCCAAUUGCUUCAAACUCUACAGUUGAAAAUGCAAAUGCAACCGUGGAGGUCGAUGUCACAGAGCAACCCACUGAUAACAGUGUCCCCAAUCUCAAUUCAGUUGAUAUGCCACCCCCCAAGCAAAAUAUUGAGGCAUCUGUAGAAGUAGAAGUUCUAGAACAACAAAGAAUCGGAAGCACACCAUUCGAGCGAGACCCUGGAAAGCGCAAACAGAUUUGGGAACUCCCUCUUGAUAAGCAAAAUGAAGCACGCCAAUUCUAUAUUUCUGAAGGCCGAUACAUGCCAUACAUGAGAGAGUAUCCAUAUAAUGAUGAUCCACCAAAACAUCGUCGGCGUUUCCAGUACAGUUGGUUCAAGGAUUUUGAAUGGCUUGAGUUUUCACCUUACACAAAGCGUGCAUAUUGCUUCCAUUGUUUCCUCUUCUCAAGAAAGCCGAUUGGGAAGUGCGGCUCAGAAACAUUUACUGUUUUGGGCUUUGAUAGGUGGAAGAAGGUGAAUAAUGGGAAAGAGUGUGCUUUUUUAACUCAUAUGGGUAAAGAUGCUGGUUCAGCCCAUAACUUCUCAGCUCGUUGUUAUGAUAAUUUCAAAAACAGCAUGACUCAUAUUGAUAAGGUGUAUGGGAAAGCAACCGCAAAAACGAUUUUAGAUGCAAGGCUAAGGCUCAAAGUUACAAUUGAUUCCAUCCGGUGGUUAACAUUCCAGGCUUGUGCUUUUAGAGGGCAUGAUGAAUCUCCGGGAUCCAUUAACCGGGGUAAUUUCCUAGAACUGGUAAAACUUUUGGCUUCUUAUAACAAGGAGGUGAAAGAUGUUGUCUUGGAAAAUGCUCCUGAAAACGCAAAGUACACAUCUCAUCAGGUUCAAGAGGAAAUUCUUGCUAUACUUUCUCGAAAGGUGCAAAGAACAAUUAGAGAAGAAAUUGGUGAUAGCAAAUUUUGUAUAAUGGUUGACGAAGCUCGCGAUGAAUCCAAGAAAGAGCAAAUGGCGUUGGUCCUCCGGUUUCCUGACACUGAAGGGUUCAUACAAGAGCGUUUUGUUGAUGUCAUUCAUGUGAAUGACACUCUUGCAUUGACUCUCAAGGAGACAAUUUGCACUGUUCUAGCAGAUAACAAUUUAAAUGUGGAAGAUAUCAGAGGUCAGGCCUAUGACGGGGCCAAUAAUAUGCGAGGGGAGUGGAACAGAUUGAAGGCUUUAAUUCUGAAGGCGUGCCCUUAUGCAUAUUACAUUCAUUGUAUGGCGCAUCAGCUUCAAUUGGCCCUUGUUGCAGCAUCACGAGAGAUACUCUCUAACACUAAGGUGCUCCUCGCUGAUCUAAGAGAGGAAGGAUGGGAACCUCUCAUAGAGGAGGUUAAGACCUUUUGUGUGAAGCAUGAAGUUGAGAUCCCCGAUAUGAGUCGCAAGUAUGUUGAUGUGACUAAGUCUCGGAAUAAACAUAAUAACAUCACGGUGCUUCACCACUACAAAGCAGAUGUGUUCAAUGUGGCGAUAGAUCAACAACUGGUUGAGCUAAAUGACCGUUUUAGCGUUCAGACAACAGAGCUAAUGACACUCUGUGCAUCCUUGGAUCCAAGGCAUGACUCGUUUGACAUAUCAAAGAUUUGCAUGCUUGUGGACAAAUUCUAUCCAGCGGAUUUUUCUAGUCAAGAGCAGGCUCGCCUGGAGUCACAACUUCCACACUAUCAGUUAGAUGUUUGCAACCAUCCAGAGCUGAAUUCUUCGUCAUCACUGGCUGAUUUGACCGUUGCAUUGCAUAAAACAGGUAAAGCCUCUGUGUAUCCAAUGGUUGAUAGAUUAUUGCGCUUGGUCAUCACUCUCCCGGUGUCAACUGCAACUGCGGAGAGAGCUUUUUCAGCAUUAUCAAGACACGUCUCCGAAGUAAAAUGGGUGACGAUUUUGUUCGACCUUACAUGGUUGUAUACAUUGGGAAGGAAAUAG